ACGGAGGGUGCAAGCGUUGUUCGGAUUGACUGGGCGUAAAGGGCGUGUAGGCGGUCGGCCAAGUCUGAUGUGAAAGCCCGGGGCUCAGCUCCGGAAGUGCGUCGGAAACUAGUCGGCUGGAGCGCGAUAGAGGAGGGUGGAAUUCCUGGUGUAGCGGUGAAAUGCGUAGAUAUCAGGAGGAACACCGGCGGCGAAGGCGGCCCUCUGGAUCGUUGCUGACGCUGAGACGCGAAAGCGUGGGGAGCAAACAGGAUUAGAUACCCUGGUAGUCCACGCUGUAAACUAUGGGUACUAGGUGUUUGGGGUAUUGACCCCCUGAGUGCCGCAGUUAACGCAUUAAGUACCCCGCCUGGGGACUACGGCCGCAAGGUUA
rnacentral:rRNA from 1 species